UAUUCCAAUGCAUGUGCAAGGGCUUUCCCCAGUAGCUAAUCUCUCAAUAAGGCGCCUUCCAAUUGGCUCUAACUUUUUUUUGAACACUGCCAGAUGAUUGGCUCCUAAAACAAAGGGAAUUGAAUAUGCAGCUCGGGUAAGCAGACGGUAGUAUUUCGUCGCUUGGCGUAAGAACUGCAACGUCUGUGAGCAGGCUACGCUCUGUAGAGCGCCUUGUUAAAUUUCAGAACGACACUUGCCAGCGCUCGCCGGAAGUGCGAAUUCCGUCAUUCCGUGUGACACAAGACAAUCAGCAAUUUGACGGGAGAUUCAUAUCUGAAUAUACCUCAUCUGUGUUGUAGUCUUCCUUGCAGGUCCAUGACUAUUCUUCCCUCGGUGGGCCUAUAAAACCAAGCAAUAAAAAUGGU